rnacentral:lncRNA from 1 species
UUGGUUGCAUGUAUGAGGAAGUUGGGAGGAAGUUUGCAUGAGGCAGAGCAGGGUUCUGCCUUACUAGCGAACCCAGUUUCAGCCGCCGAAGGAAGGUUCGGCCGCCGAACAUGCUAAGGAGGUGGUUUCGGCUGCCUAAGCUCGCCCCCGAAAGUUUGGACUUUCGGCUCUGGAGGGAGUUUCGACCGCCGAAGGUUAGGGACUUUGGUCUCUGGAAAGGAUUUUCGGCAGCCGAAGGUGCAGCCGAAAAUGCCUGAGUUUCGGCUCUGGAGGGACUUUCGGCCGCCGAACUUGCCGCCGAAAGUGCCCUGUCCAGCCUUCUUUUGCUUGUUUUAUGUGAUUGUUUAGGAUGUUUUAGGGGGGUUUUUUGGGGAGUUUUAGAGAGAUGUUCUUGAGUUAGUUUGGUCCCUCAUUUGAGUCCACCUGUGUAGGAACGGACCAGAGGAACCGAAGAGAUCAGCAGUGAGCACUGUCAGAGUCAGUACAGAGUUAGCCAGAGGUGAGUGGAACUAAACUUAAUCUUUCUAAUGCUUUUAGCAUGUUUCAUGCAUCAUGAUUAUGCAAUAGAUUGAUUGCAUUAGAAUUCACGAUUAUGUGCAUUGCAUUAUUUCUUGUAUUUGCGAACGGACAUAGAGCUUGUUUCAUUAGCCCUCCCAGUAAAGUCCUGAGGAGCCCCGAGAGGGCCGGGCACAGAGUACUUCGGUACUAUUGAUUGUAUAGUAAAGUCCUGAGGAGCUCCUUCGCGGGCCGGGCACUGAGGGAUUUUUGAUUUAGUCCGUUCGGUAUGUGAUUACUUGUGCUGUGAUGCAUUCCAUGUGAGCAUGUUUAUUAACAUGUUUUUAUUGUUCUGCUCACUGGGCUAGUAUAGCUCACCCCUCUCCCUUAACCCCAGUCUUGCAGGAUCAGAGUACAAGGGGAGUCAGCAGAGUACAUGAAGAGUAAAGAGUUGUGUGAUAGCAUAGUGUGGACAUGUACUAUUGUAAACAAGAUGUUUUAGUAUUGUAUAGAGUAUAGUAGUGUGCUUGACCCAUAUGUUUUGUAAAUCCCCUUUUGUAUGCAUGUUUUGUUUUUGUAAAUGUUUUCUUGAUGAGUAUGAAAACUAGGC